GGGACUAGUAGUAUAUUACUAGCCUUAAAAUAAAGUAAUAGCUUAUCUAUAGUAACCUCUAUAUAGUAAUAUAGCUUAUACUAAGACCCUAAUAUAACUAUACUAUAAAACACCUAACUUUUAAAUAUUAACCUUAAAUUAAGUAAGACUACCUACUAAACUUAAGUAUAUUAAUAAGUAAAGGAAAAGAAACUAAUAGAGAUUACCCUAAUAAUAAUAAGUAAAGUAAUAAUAGCUUAAAUUUAAAAUCUAGCUCUUAGGGCCUAAGUUAUAAUUUAUAAAGGAUACUUUUAAUAAGGUACCUUCUAAGUUCCCUAAAAUAGAAUACUAUAGAGGGUAAGAGCUUUAUAUAGUUAAAUACUAAGCCUUUAUAAAGCUCUUUUAAUAAGUUAAGUAGUUUAAGAAUACUACUUAAAAUAAGAGGUAUAUAUCUUCUAAAGCUAAAUAUUAGCUAGAGACUAAUAAUAUAUAAGUAAAGUAAUUAAAAGAUAAAAAGUACUUUAAAAAGAGGGUUAAAAAGUAUAUAAAAUUAUUAAAAGGGAAGCGCCUAUAACUAGACUUACGCCUAGUAAAUUACCUAGUAUUCUUACUAGUAUACUUUACUAGGCAUAGGCUAGUAUUAGUUUAAUAUAAGGGAGAAAGGCUUUAGGAAUAUAGCUCCCUUAGGAAUAUUAUAGCCUACUAUAUAAUGUCUUAUACUAGACUAAGGUAUAUAUAUUAUAAGGAUACUAGUAUAAUAAUUAUUAAUAACCUAUCUUAAAAUAUAGACUAAGGAGUUAUCUUUAUAUAUAAGUAUUUAGGUAUUAAACCCCUAUAUAUAAUAAAAGUAAAUAUAGGUAAGAGCUUUAGUAUAUUACUAACUAAUCCUAAUAUUCUUAGAUAGAUUUAAGUAAGAGUAUAUAAGGCUAGACCUAAAAGAAAAUAAACUAUACUUAUAUAAGGUAAAGCUAGAGGAAACUCUAGUAAAGGCUUAUAGUAAUUCUAAUAUAUAAAUUAAUUAUUAAAUAUAGAUAUAAGGGUAAAAGACUAAUUAAACCUUCUAGUAGCUAGUUUCUACUAAAGUUUCCCUUAAGAUAGUAAUAUUAAACUUAGUUUUAUAAGAUAAAAUAAAUAAUUAGGGACUUAGGGGUACUAUAUUACCUUUAUCUAUUCUUAAACUUUAAAUAUAUAAGAAGCCCUUAUUACUUAAUUAAAUAUAAAUAUUUAAAUAUAUUAACACUAGUAAGCUAUUUUUAAUAAGUAGAACUAGUAAUAUAAGAUAAACUAAAUAUAAGGUUAAGGUACUAAAGUAAAUGCUUAUUAGACACUAUAAAAGGUAUUAGUAUAUCUUAAUAAUAGGAUAGUAGCUAUAGAAGUUAAAAUCUACUAAGGACUAUAUAAUAACUUACCUAUUAAAUAUACUAGCCUUAAAAAUAAAUAGCACUUAAGCAUUCUACCUAUACCUUACCCUUAAGGUAAGAAUAAAGCCUUAAGGAGUAGAUAAAUAUAAAGGUUAGUAAUAAAGCCUAGGAUAUAAGCCUAGGUUAAAUAACCUCUAGUAUAGAUCUUAGUAGUAAUAGUAAAUACUUUAAUAAGAACUUAAAAGACUAAAGUAAAGAAAGGUUUUAUAUAAAUAGUAAUUAGAUAUAGGUUAGUUAAUCUUAAGCUAUAAGGAAGUUCUAUUUUAAAGGCAUACUAUACACUAUAUAGUAAAAAGGAAGUUAGUUAAUAUUCUAGUACCUAAAUAUAGGUUUUAUAUAGUAAUAUAACUAAAUAUAGAGAUAAUAGUAAAAGCCCUAAGUAAAGUUCUCUUUUCUUCUUAAUAGUCUAUUACCCUAAAAUUAGUUUAUCUAGAGCUAAGGUUUAAUAGCUAGAAGAGCCUAGUACCUCUACUAGGUUUAGUAUACUCUUAAUGUCCCUUAAAAAUCUAUAAAAAGGAAUAAUUCUUAUAUUAGGUUAUACUUAUAACUAUAGUAGGUCUCUAAGGUAAAUAGCCUCUAGUUAAUAGAAUAAUAUAAAUAAAGGAAGUUAGUAAAAUAAAUCUAUAACUUUAAAAUAAGGAUUAGCUCUAAGGGUUAGGUAUAUUAGGCUUUAAAAGAACACCUUAAGAGUAGGCCACCACUAGCUAAGUAACUAGCUAGUAGUAGCUAAUAUCUAGACACUAAUAUCCUUAGUAGGCUUUAGCUAUCUAGUAUAUAAUUAAUAACUAACUUAGAACUAGUAUAGAUAAGAGGAAUCUAAUUAUUUAAUUAAAAUAUAAUAUUAUAAUAGCUAGAAAGUAAUAUUAAUAUAAUAUAAUUUCUACCUAGUACUCUAAAUAUUAAAGCAAAGUAAUUUAACUAAAUAUAAGUAAAUAAUAAAAGUAACUAUAACUUAAGAAAUUAAUAGCUACCUUUUAGGGAUAAAUAGGCACCUAGUACUAUAAACUACUAUAUAGGCGCCUAGAAGUCUUUAAUAUUAAGAGGGUUAAGUAGUAUAAAAGCUAUUUACUAGUAGGCUAGGAAUUAUACUCCUAGCCUAUAACACUAUUAAAUUAUAAGAACAUCCUAAAGCUAAUACUACUAAGUAGGUACUAAAAGGUAUAUAUAGCUAAGGUAAUAACCUAAGGUAUAGUAAAAACAUAUUAGAUAAUAUAAUAGAUAAUCUAUAGCUAAGCUCUAAGUCUAGUACUAUAAUAUUAAAUAUAAGUAUAGUUUAAUAACUAAAUAGUAGUAGGUUUUAUAAGAAACGCGUGUUAUAAACUUCUCUUAAGGCUUAAGAUAUAGUCUACUCUUACUCUAAAAGGAUAGGUACUAAGUACUCUUAAGAUAGCUAAAUACCUUAUUAUCUAAUUAGUAAUAUAUAUAAAUAGAUUAAUAAGAUUCCUACUAUCCUUAUCUACUAUCUAGUAAAACUAUAGCUAAGGAAAUAGGCUUAGUAAAAUUAGUAGAGAAAGAAGACCCUAUUAAGCUUAACUCUAGUUUAAUAUUAUAAAAAGAUAUAAAAGGUAUAAAAUAAGUAAGAGCUUUAAUACUAGUAAAAUACUAUUACUCCUAUUAUUUUUUUACUUAUUUAAUAAAGUAGAGAUAGAUUUUUAUCUAACUUCUAGUUUUAAGGUCUUUUAUAAGCUAACCUAGGUUAAAGACAUUAUUAGGUAAGGAGUUUAGCUAGGGUAGUAUAUCUAUUAAACUAUAACAUAGGUAUCCUAAGGGGGGCUUAUAGAGAAUAGAAAUCUCUAGUAGAAUAAAAAGAUAAAAGUCCCCUUAAUUUUAAUUUUUAGUAUAAAUAUAAACUAUAAAAGUAUAGCCUAUUAAUCCUUUAGUCCCUUAAUAUUUAAGGCUAAAGGUACUUGAAAAGUUACUAUAAGAAUAACUAGCUUAUAAUAACUAAGUAUUUAUAGUAAUAUCACUUUUUAAUUCUUUAAUAUUAGCUCUUCUUAUUAUAUUAAAGUAGAGUUUAGUAAGCGUUAGAUUAUUUACCUACUAAUAAGGAAUAUAAGCUAGGUUUAGACUAUUAUAAGAUAGGUUAGUUUUACCCUACUAAUAACCUUACUAUAAUAGUAAUUUAGCUUAGUAUAAGAGAAACUACUAAUUUAGAUAAUUAGUUUUUAUAGCUAUCUAACUAGGCAGUACUAUAAUACUACUAUCUACUAGAUAAUAGCUAAACGCCUCUAAGUCAGAAUCCAUGCCAGAACGCGGUGA
rnacentral:rRNA from 1 species